UGGACAAAGCCCAUUUGAGCUCGACACCAGACAGAGUUUGCCCAUCCGAGCUCAAAACCCGACACUUAAAGAACCAAGCUUUGAGGAAAUCUUUAAGAGCGUUCCGACCUGUUUUGAGAGAUCGAACAAAUCAAAUAGAUCGGUACUUUUUGAGAUUGGACAAAUCAAAGAGAUCGGUACUCUUUGAGUUUGUACAAAAUGAAGAUCAUAUCACAG
rnacentral:misc_RNA from 1 species